rnacentral:misc_RNA from 1 species
GCAAACUUGGUCAUUUAGAGGAAGUAAAAGUCGUAACAAGGUCUCCGUAGGUGAACCUGCGGAGGGAUCAUUACUGAGUGAGGGUCUCCGACCCGACCUCCAACCCUUUGUGAUUGAACCACUGUUGCCUCGGGGUGGUCCGGGUCUGUCACGGCCCCGGACGCCCCGGUGGACCAUUUUCAAACACUGCAUCUAUGCGUCGGAUAAUACAAGUUUAAAUUGAUUAUUAAAACUUUCAACAACGGAUCUCUUGGUUCUGGCAUCGAUGAAAGAACGCAGC